rnacentral:rRNA from 1 species
UACAUGGGGUGCAAACGUUGCUCGGAAUUAUUGGGCCUAAAGCAUCCGUAGCCGGCCUUACAAGUCCUCCGUUAAAUCCAGCUGCUUAACAGAUGGGCUGCGGAGGAUACUAUAAGACUAGGAGGCAGGAGAGGCAAGCGGUACUCAGUGGGUAGGGGUAAAAUCCGUUGAUCCAUUGAAGACCACCAGUGGCGAAGGCGGCUUGCCAGAAUGCGCUCGACGGUGAGGGAUGAAAGCUGGGGGAGCAAACCGG